rnacentral:rRNA from 1 species
GUCUAUGGCCAUACCACCCUGAACAUGCCCGAUCUCAUCUGGUCUUGGAAGCUGAGCAGGGCUGGGUCUGGUUAGUACUCGGGUGGGAGGACUGUGAGUGCCGCCACACAUC